rnacentral:rRNA from 1 species
AGUGAACGCUGGCGGUAGGCCUAACACAUGCAAGUCGAACGGCAGCACAGUAAGAGCUUGCUCUUACGGGUGGCGAGUGGCGGACGGGUGAGGAAUACAUCGGAAUCUACUUUUUCGUGGGGGAUAACGUAGGGAAACUUACGCUAAUACCGCAUACGACCUACGGGUGAAAGCAGGGGAUCUUCGGACCUUGCGCGAUUGAAUGAGCCGAUGUCGGAUUAGCUAGUUGGCGGGGUAAAGGCCCACCAAGGCGACGAUCCGUAGCUGGUCUGAGAGGAUGGUCAGCCACACUGGAACAGAGACACGGUCCAGACUCCUACGGGAGGCAGCAGUGGGGAAUAUUGGACAAUGGGCGCAAGCCUGAUCCAGCCAUACCGCGUGGGUGAAGAAGGCCUUCGGGUUGUAAAGCCCUUUUGUUGGGAAAGAAAAGCAGCAGGUUAAUACCCCGCUGUUCUGACGGUACCCAAAGAAUAAGCACCGGCUAACUUCGUG